rnacentral:rRNA from 1 species
GUUCCUGAAACCGUGUGCCUACAAGUAGUUAGAGCCCGUUAAUGGGUGAUAGCGUGCCUUUUGUAGAAUGAACCGGCGAGUUACGAUUUGUUGCAAGGUUAAGCGGAAAAAGCGGAGCCGUAGCGAAAGCGAGUCUGAAUAGGGCGCAUAAGUAACAGGUCGUAGACCCGAAACCAGGUGAUCUACCCAUGUCCAGGAUGAAGGUAAGGUAAUACUUACUGGAGGUCCGAACCCACGCACGUUGAAAAGUGCGGGGAUGAGGUGUGGGUAGCGGAGAAAUUCCAAUCGAACUUGGAGAUAGCUGGUUCUCUCCGAAAUAGCUUUAGGGCUAGCCUCGAGGUAAAGAGUCAUGGAGGUAGAGCACUGUUUGGACUAGGGGCCCUUCUCGGGUUACCGAAUUCAGAUAAAC